rnacentral:rRNA from 1 species
UGCCUACGGGACGCAGCAGUGGGGAAUAUUGCACAAUGGGGGAAACCCUGAUGCAGCGACGCCGCGUGAGUGAAGAAGUAAUUCGUUACGUAAAGCUCUAUCAGCAGGGAAGAAACACUGACCUUACGGUCAGCAGACGGUACCUGAGUAAGAAGCCCCGGCUAACUACGUGCCAGCAGCCGCGGUAAUAAGUAGGGGGCAAGAGUUAUCCGGAUUUACUGGGUGUAAAGGGAGCGAAGACGGUGCGCCAAGACUGGAGUGAAAUG